rnacentral:rRNA from 1 species
UACGGAGGAUGCGAGCGUUAUCCGGAUUUAUUGGGUUUAAAGGGUGCGUAGGCGGACGCUCAAGUCAGCGGUAAAAUUGCGGGGCUCAACCUCGUCGAGCCGUUGAAACUGGGUGCCUUGAGUGGGCGAGAAGUACGCGGAAUGCGUGGUGUAGCGGUGAAAUGCAUAGAUAUCACGCAGAACUCCGAUUGCGAAGGCAGCGUACCGGCGCCCAACUGACGCUGAGGCACGAAAGUGUGGGGAGCAAACAGG